rnacentral:tRNA from 1 species
GCCAGCAUGGUGUAGUGGUUUUAGUGUUGGACUAAGACUCUGGAGACCAGGGUUCGAUUCCCAGCUCGACCA